UGAGGUCUGAGGAAGCUGAAGGGGUUGGGAUACUUGGGGAUUGAUGGUGGGGCUGCAAUGCAGGGGGCGUCUGUGGACAGCCUGGUGGGUAUUGGGUCCUCAUGGGGUGAACCCCUUCUCACCCCACCCCCCCACUUUCCCCAGGCAUCCUGGAGACAGACAUCACCUUCCUCCUCAUCUUCAUUUCUUCGUUGUCAUCUUCUCAUUAUUCAUCAGGGGAUACCAACAGGGGCUGUACUGGAAGCUGAAGUGCUCCUGACUGGACAUGGGUGGCAGAAAAACUCCAUUGUUGCUGGCCUAGAGGCUCCAUGUAUCCUUGGCAUAGAUCACCUCAGGAGAGAGGACCCUUCUGCUGUGGGACUGCUGAGGGUUGAAGAAAAGCAGGUACUGAUGGCCAGCACAAGUGUCCCAUUGGCAACGUGGCACCGACUGGGACUUCAGGACCCCAUCCAUGAGCUGAUCCAUGAACUGGAGAGCUGGGUGUGCUCAGCAAGACUCACUCACCCUUCAGCAGCCCCGCAUGGCCUCUGCCUGAGUCCCGUGGAGAGCAGACACUGACAGUGGACUGUCAUGGCCUGAAUGAACUCACACCAUCACUGAGUGCUGCCAUGCUGGACAUGUUGGAACUUCAGUAUGAGUGAUGCCACAGCAGAGGAAGCUUUUGAGAAAGGAGAUAAGAUACCCAGAUCCUCCUGAAGGCUGGUUUUGCAGGGUAAAAUCAAGGGACCUGCCCAGAGGUUAAGUUUUUAGAAGUGAAAUAGCAAGAUGGAUGCUGUCAGAUUCCAGUGGUUGUGGUCAACAAAAUAGCAGCCAUGUCCUCAGUGACCAACAGGAAGGAAACACAGGCUUUCCUGGCACUGUGGUAUUUUGGAGAAGUUACAGUCAGAUUGUAAACCCUCUCUAUUAUGUGACAUGGAAGAAGAUUGAUUUCAAGUGGGGUCCUUAACAGCAACAAGCUUUUGAACAAAUUAAAGAGGAGAUUGUUCCAACAGUAGCUGUUGGACCAGUCAGGAAAAGGACAGGAUGUGGAAGAUGUGCUCCAUGCUGCAGCCAGGGAGAAUGGUCCAUCCUGGAGCCUCUGUCAGAAGGGACCUGAGGAAGUUAAAGGACCACCCUAUGGUUCUUGAGUCUGGGAUACAAAGGAUCAGAGACCAGCUAUAGUCCUACACCACACUACAAAUACUGUCAGCUUAUGAGGAGGUUCCAUCUGUUUCAGAAGUGAUUGGCACCAAAACACAGCUUCCACUGGCACCCAACUGCCAGUGCUGGGCUGGAUGUUCAAAGGGAAAGGGAUCUUGGAAGUCAUUACAAGCUUCUCCCAGAGGCAAAAAUUUCAGAUUAUCAUCAGAAGAGGAGGAGGUGAAGCUGGCACAUGCUAAGGAGGCUCUGGUUACCAGAAAAUGAGAAGCAUCACUCUUUCUUUAGUGAUGAUUCCUGCCUUAUUGUAGGGAUGCAUCAAAAGCUGCUGUAUGGAGUCCUACAUGACAGUUUGUGGAAGCCACUGAAGGACAAGGUGGAUCCAGUCAGAUUACAGACCUUAAAGCUUAAAGCCGUCUAGCUGGCUUUGGGUAUGGCUGAAUAAGAGAAGUGGCCCACACUCUGCCUCUGUACUGACUCAUGGAUGGUGGCAAAUGCUCUGUGGAGGUGGCUGGAAUGAUGUAAGAAGGACAGUUGGCAGUAAAGAGGGACACCCAUUGGGGCUGCUGGACUGGGGCAAGACAUCACUGCCCAGGUGUAGAAGUUGGCUGUGAAAGUCCCUCCUGUGGGUGCUCACAGAUCCAAGAGUCGGGCACUGAAGAGCAGCCCAACAAUGGACAGGGGGAUCGGGCUGCCAGGGUUAAAGUGUCUCAGGUGGGUCUGGACUGGUCACACAGGGGUGAGAUUUUUCUGGCUCAGUGGGUUCAUGAUGCCUCAAGGUAUUGGAACUGACAAUGGUCAAAUAAGAGAUUUUUUAGGCUUCAGGCAUUAGCUUGAGCCUGUGUGAAACUAAGUCACACAAAGUUC